rnacentral:rRNA from 1 species
AGCAGCCGCGGUAAUUCCAGCUCCAAUAGCGUAUAUUAAAGUUGUUGCAGUUAAAAAGCUCGUAGUUGAAUUUCGGGGUUAGUAGGUUGGUCAUGCCCCUGGUAUGUACUGGUCUCACUGAUUCCUCCUUCCUUAUGAACCGUAAUGCCAUUAAUUUGGUGUUGCGGGAAAUUUGGACUGUUACUUUGAAAAAAUUUAGAGUGUUUAAAGCAAGCUAACGCUUGAAUACAUUAGCAUGGAAUAAUGAAAUAGGACGUUCGAUCUUAUUUUGUUGGUUUCUAGGAUUGACGUAAUGAUUAAUAGGGAUAGUUGGGGGCAUUAGUAUUCAAUUGUCAGAGGUGAAGUUCUUGGAUUUAUUGAAGACUAACUACUGCGAAAGCAUUUGCCAAGGAUGUUUUCAUUAAUCAAGAACGAAAGUUAGGGGAUCGAAGACGAUCAGAUACCGUCGUAGUCUUAACCAUAAACUAUGCCGACUAGGGAUCGGAUGAUGUUAAUUUUUUAAUGACUCAUUCGGCGCCUU